AACGAACGCUGGCGGCAUGCCUAACACAUGCAAGUCGAACGAGAAAACUCUUCGGAGUGAGUAGAGUGGCGCACGGGUGAGUAACACGUAGGUGACCUACCAUACAGUGGGGGAUAACUAGAAGAAAUUCUGGCUAAUACCGCAUACGAAGCACAAUUUUGAAAGUAGUGCUUGAAAGGAUGCUCCGGCAUUCGCUGAAUGAUGGGCCUGCGUAGCAUUAGUUUGUUGGUGAGGUAACGGCUUACCAAGACUACGAUGCUUAGCUGGUCUGAGAGGAUGAUCAGCCACACUGGAACUGAGACACGGUCCAG
rnacentral:rRNA from 1 species